rnacentral:lncRNA from 1 species
UCCUCCAAGUGAAAUGGGAGAUACCGUUUUCUAAUCCCUAUUAUACCAGUUGAUUAGAGCGGCUGGGCACAUGACGGGAAGAAAUCCAGCAGGUCAAGUUUUCCUAAUCAUUCUCCUUAUAAAUUAGGGAAAGCUACAUCUGUUGGUUUUUUUAUAGUCAGUCUUUUUAAAAAAAUGUUUGGCCAAUUAUCCUUAGUCCCAUAGGCCCCUGUUUAAGGAACUGGAAUUCAGGCUCGCUUCAUCUCUGACCAGCCCCCCUGCUCCUUGCAGAUGCCGAUUCCUAUGAGAAUAUGGAGAGCCCCAACAGUGUCAGUUCGCGGAAGGAAGGCAACAUGGAUUCAUGUGGAGAAGGCACUGCCUUUGGUCUCCCACGGCAACAUCACUCCAUACCUUUCGGGGUUGAUCUUAGAGGGGGGAUGCUGUGCUCAGACUAGAACGAGCCAAGGCGUUGGGGAGGCAGGCUCAGGAGCUUGAACCUUCGGCAAUUCCUUUCCUCUCUCAGCCAGGACGCAAUGUUUCUACCCAGAAACUGGGACCACACAAACUAUUCUUCUCGUCUUGGCACUCUGGAUCCUCUGGGAGCAGAGGAGUGAGGGGUGCUUCCAGAAUACUAGAAGAGGGGGUCCAGAAAUCGGAUUCCAGGGUUUGAUCUCCAGGACUAGGAGCAGUAUGGAGUCCUACACAUCUGAAAUGGAAGCAGAAAGACUGAGCUGGAGAUAUGCAAGCACAUUUUUUUAAAGAGUUGAAAGUAAAGAGAAGCCAUUUCUAGUGGAAGAAACACACCUUUCUUUUGUUCCACAAUUAUUACCUCCAGCCAAACUUUGAAAUAAUACAAAAGCUGAUUUUGUUGGUGUUCUAGAGUGGUUAGGCUGAUGUGGAUCUGCACACACACAUUUUUAGCCAGAUGUAGAUAUUUCCUCAGAGAAUCAAACUCUGGCGCAAUUGGUCCUUCUUUCCAGAAACCAGUUGUGCAAAGUCCUGACUGUUAAGCCCUUGUGACAAUCAUGAAGGUACCUCCUUCCUUUCAACCCAACUGGCUGUGCAGAGUGCUGAUUGGCUGACCCCUACAAUGAUUACAAAACCACACUCUCCUACCCUUGUCAAGCUGUCCAAUGCAUCCAGUGGCGUAGCGUGGGUUGUCAGCACCCGGGGCAAGGCAAGUAAUUUGCGCCCCCUAACCUGUGGAUUUGCGCCCCCUAACCCGUGGAUUUGCACCCCCUAACCUGUGGAUUUGCCCUAACCCCAGAUGUUGCGCCCGGUGCGGCCGGCCCCCCCUGCACCCCCCAUGCUGCGCCACUGAAUGCAUCAUCUGUUUGAGACUUGGUGUAUUGGUCAGGAAUAGUCUAACAUUUCAAAAUCCUGUAAGCAGUGCCUAUCCAUAUGGCUCCAUUUUUUAUUAUUAUUGCAUACUGUUACAAUGGAUGUUGCCCCAGAGCAGAAAAAAAGACACUGCUACCUAUAUAGGUAGUUCCACCAGAGCAGAAAACAAGACAUUGUCACCUAUAUCUGAAUGUAGCCUUCCAUGGACAAAAGUGGAAUGAGCACAUACAAUGAGCAACCUCUCUUUCAAACCACCUUCAGCUAUGGGGCGGGGGUACACACAAUUGUCUGUUUCUAGCCUUAAUUCACCAUUGAUUUCAUUGUGAGUUGAUGCAUACUUGUAUUUUCAUAUGGGGAAAGGUAGGCAUUGUCGGGGGUGGGUACUUUGUGUCUCACACGAUGUGUGUGUCUCCCCAGCCUACCAUCUUACUUUGCCAUUUCUCCUGCUGCCAUAUCCUGUAAAAUAAAACUGAAAUUCUAUAAUAAACUUCAGUAUUGUGGGCUCUCUGUUGCU